rnacentral:lncRNA from 1 species
UCCUAACUGUCAAGGUUGCCUUUGAGCAUUCUAGGCAAAAGACUAGCAACUCAACUGGCCAGGUAAGUGUAAGGUCGGUGGGGGUCCCACCGUUGCUUUCCUUAGAUACCAACUGAGUUGGCCAGAUAAGCGAACGGAACCAAUUAAAUAACCACUUUCCUUCAGGAUGUAGUCCUUGAACCACUUUUCUAGACACCAGUCAAACUGACUAACCCUAACCCGAUCUUACUCUUAGGAUCCCUUGUCCUAUUGAGCUCGAAAGUCCUUAGGGGCCAACGUCUAAUUGAUUUUAAAUUAAGGUUUAGGUCAAUGCAAUAUGCAGGAUGGUGGUUUGUGAGCCA